CAGACGAUGCGUCAUGCAUAUCAAUAAGCGGAGGAAAAGUAAAUGCUGUAUACCUACGCUUAGGAUGUUGAAGAUGUAGCACAUCAUACACGCAUGACACACUGCAUAUCAAUAAGCGGAGGAAAAGGCAUACCUACGCUUAGGAUGUUGAAGAUGUAGCACAUCAUACACGCACGACACACCGCAUAUCAAUAAGCGGAGGAAAAGAUACCUACGCUUAGGAUGUUGAAGAUGUAGCACAUCAUACACGCAUGACACACUGCAUAUCAAUAAGCGGAGGAAAAGAGGGCUAUUACCUACGCUUAGGAUGUUGAAGAUGUAGCACAUCAUACACGCAUGACACACUGCAUAUCAAUAAGCGGAGGAAAAGUCAAUACCUACGCUUAGGAUGUUGAAGAUGUAGCACAUCAUACACGCAUGACACACUGCAUAUCAAUAAGCGGAGGAAAAGUCAAUACCUACGCUUAGGAUGUUGAAGAUGUAGCACAUCAUACACGCAUGACACACUGCAUAUCAAUAAGCGGAGGAAAAGGGAAUCGGUCGCCCAGUACCUACGCUUAGGAUGUUGACGAGACUGUCGAUCUCAUCUAUACAUGACUCUGUGCAUAUCAAUAAGCGGAGGAAAAGUCAACUACCUACGCUUAGGAUGUUGAAGAUGUAGCACAUCAUACACGCAUGACACACUGCAUAUCAAUAAGCGGAGGAAAAGAGGGCUAUUACCUACGCUUAGGAUGUUGAAGAUGUAGCACAUCAU
rnacentral:rRNA from 1 species